rnacentral:rRNA from 1 species
UACGUAGGGUGCGAGCGUUUAAUCGGAAUUACUGGGCGUAAAGCGUGCGCAGGCGGUUUUGUAAGUCAGAUGUGAAAUCCCCGAGCUCAACUUGGGAACUGCGUUUGAAACUACAAGACUAGAAUAUGUCAGAGGAGGGUGGAAUUCCUGGUGUAGCGGUGAAAUGCGUAGAUAUCAGGAGGAACACCGGUGGCGAAGGCGGCCCUCUGGACGGAUACUGACGCUGAGGACGCGACAGCGUGGGGAGCAAACAGG